rnacentral:lncRNA from 1 species
UUUUGUCAACACGAAUGUCGUGGCAAUGCUAGGGAGAUCGAGUCAACACUCAACACAUACCAGUUAAAAUCUGCAUAAAAAAGAGGAGAAGAUAAUCUUUUGUUGUUGGUUUUUAUCAUAGGAAAAAAAGAAUUUAAAAAAAAAAGAAGAUAAGUUGUUGAAAAUAGAAAUUAAAAAGAGGAGAAGGUAAACAUGGGUUGUUGG